CGAGCGAGAAAGUGUAGCAAUACAUGAGUACAGCGGCGCACGGGUGAGUAACACGUGGAAUAACCUGCCUCAAAGUGGGGAAUAACACCGGGAAACCGGUGCUAAUACCGCAUAUUCUGAUGAGAUCUGCGGAUUUUGUCAGGAAAGGAGCAAUUCGCUAUGAGAGGGGUCCGCGGCUGAUUAGCUAGUUGGUGAGGUAAUGGCUCACCAAGGCCACGAUCAGUAGCCGGUCUGAGAGGACGGUCGGCCACACUGGAACUGAGACACGGUCCAGACUCCUACGGGAGGCAGCAGUGGGGAAUUUUUCGCAAUGGGGGCAACCCUGACGAAGCAAUGCCGCGUGGAUGAUGAAGUCUCUUGGGACGUAAAAUCCUUUCGACAGGGACGAAACCGCAAGGUUGACGGUACCUGUAGAAGAAGCCCCGGCUAACUCCGUGCCAGCAGCCGCGGUAAUACGGGGGGGGCAAGCGUUGUUCGGAAUUACUGGGCGUAAAGGGUGCGUAGGCGGCUCUCUAAGUCGGAUGUGAAAACUCUGGGCUCAACCCAGAGCCUGCAUCCAAAACUGGAGGGCUAGGGUUCUGGAGGGGAAAGCGGAAUUCCUGGUGUACGGGUGAAAUGCGUAGAUUUCAGGAGGAACACCGGGUGGCGAAGGCGGCUUUCUGGACAGAUACCGACCCUGAGGCACGAAAGCUAGGGGAGCAAACAGGAUUAGAUACCCUGGUAGUCCUAGCCCUAACCUAUGGAUACUUGCUGUGGGGGGGAUUGAAACCCCUUGGGGGCGAACCUAACGCAUUAAGUA
rnacentral:rRNA from 1 species